rnacentral:rRNA from 1 species
GAUGAACGCUGGCGGCGUGCCUAAUACAUGCAAGUCGAGCGAACAGACGAGGAGCUUGCUCCUCUGACGUUAGCGGCGGACGGGUGAGUAACACGUGGAUAACCUACCUAUAAGACUGGGAUAACUUCGGGAAACCGGAGCUAAUACCGGAUAAUAUAUUGAACCGCAUGGUUCAAUAGUGAAAGACGGUUUUGCGGUCACUUAUAGAUGGAUCCGCGCCGCAUUAGCUAGUUGGUAAGGUAACGGCUUACCAAGGCAACGAUGCGUAGCCGACCUGAUAGGGUGAUCGGCCACACUGGAACUGAGACACGGUCCAGACUCCUACGGGAGGCAGCAGUAGGGAAUCUUCCGCAAUGGGCGAAAGCCUGACGGAGCAACGCCGCGUGAGUGAUGAAGGUCUUCGGAUCGUAAAACUCUGUUAUUAGGGAAGAACAAAUGUGUAAGUAACUAUGCACGUCUUGACGGUACCUAAUCAGAAAGCCACGGCUAACUACGUG